rnacentral:rRNA from 1 species
UACGUAGGGCGCGAGCGUUGUCCGGAAUUACUGGGCGUAAAGAGCUCGUAGGUGGUUUGUCGCGUUGUUCGUGAAAACCGGGGGCUUAACCCUCGGCGUGCGGGCGAUACGGGCAGACUUGAGUACUGCAGGGGAGACUGGAAUUCCUGGUGUAGCGGUGGAAUGCGCAGAUAUCAGGAGGAACACCGGUGGCGAAGGCGGGUCUCUGGGCAGUAACUGACGCUGGAGGAGCGAAAGCGUGGGGAGCGAACAGG